CAUCAGCGGGAGAAGGAAGUUUGUUAAGCUAACUGGCUAGAUAUCCUCAGUUUAGUCAUCCACAAGACAUUCACCGUUUAUAUACAAAUUAAAUUAUGUUGGGGUUAUGCUACAUAAUAUAUGCCAAAUAAAUAAAUGAAAUGUUCAAACGAAGAGUACUGUAAACUUCCUAUUUUUCAAGACCAUGCUAACUAAGAUAGCUAACUUCAACUUCUGCUAGCUGUCGCUAAGUACAGCAGGAAGAUCUCUGUUCAUAAAACGCAGCUGCUAUGCAGUCGUAUGGAGCCGCAGGCGACCUGGAGGCCCAGUUGGCCAGAAAGGAACGGGAGUGGAAGGAGCUCCAGAGCCUGCGCGUACUGCAGCUGGAGUCAUCACUCCGCGGAACUCAGGACGAGCUUUCCGUCCUCAGACAGCGCUUCCAACAGCUCCGAGAGGACUUCCGUUACAACCUGACCGUGCUGGAGGAAAGGGACCGCGAACUGGAGAAAUAUGACGCAAAGGCAACAAGAGUUCAGGCCACAGAGACCGCCAGACAAGAGGAGGUGAGCCAGCUUCGUAUCCAGGUGGCCAAACUGCAAGAGCAGAGAGAAAAGGAGGAGAGAGAGAGAGAGGAGGAGAGGCGGCGCAGCCAUCAGAGAGCUGCUGAACACAGGCUGCAGCUGGAAAGACUGCAGGGCUGUAAGGACGGAGACAUCCAGAAGCAGAGGGAGGCGUAUGAAGGGAUGAAACGAGAUCUCCAGCACCGCCUACAGGAAGUGGAGGGGGAGCUGGCCCUGCAGAAACAGGAGCUGAUGGCUGACUUUGAUAAUGAGCUGAGGCUGAGAGAGCACGAGUUCAACCUGAGGAUGGACGAGAUGCGCGCUGUGGUUCUGGCUCACAAGCUCAAGGUCAAGCUGCUGUCUAAGGAGGCUGAGGUCCUGGCCCAGACCCAGCUCCAGACCCAGGAGAGGCUGACAGCUUCUGAGGAGCUCUGUCAGAACACACACACCCUGCUGCAGCGCAGGCAGCUGGAGAUACAGGACAUCACGGCGGUCAAGGACAGCAGGACCAGGCAGCUGGAGGAGGAGCUGAGGAAGAUGGAGGCCAGGAGGAGGAGAGAGGAGGAGGCCUGCAACAGGAAGCAUGAGGAUCUGGACCGGGCCGUGAGGGAGAGGGAGGCCCAGCUGGAGGCUCUGAGGGGGGCUCACUGCUCCCAGCUGGGCAUGGUGGAGACUCAGUCCUCCCAGCUGCAGAGCCAGCUUGACGCCAUGGCUGCACACACACGCAGGGCCCAGAGAGAGCAGGCGGAGGCACUCGUACUCAGAGACCAGCAGAUAGAGAGGCUUCAUACUGAGCUGGAGACUACUCGAACUGGCUGGGACACAUACAUCACUCAGGUUUCCAAGGAGACUGUCGUCAAGGACACAGAGCUGCUGGCCCUGCAGGAGAGAGAAGCCAAGCUCAGGAGUGAACUGGAGAGGAGCAGGGGGGAGGCCGAGAGGUACAAGCAGCAGCUGGGCCUGGGUGUGGAGAGGGAGAAGGCCCUGGAGCAGAGGAGGGUGCAGCUGGAGCUGGAGUGGCAGAGACGCUGUGAGGACCUCAAGGCUGAGCACUACCUGGCCAGCGAGGGCUUAAUACAGGGCCUCACCCAGGCCAGGGACCAGGCAGCGGCAGAGCUGAGGGAGAGGGAGAGAGAGCUACAGGAUGUGGGGGUCUUACUGCGCACCGUCACAGCAGAGAGAGACCAGGCCCUGCAGGGCUCCAGACCAGGUGAGGGAGUGGCCUCCCUCCCCUCUGAAGAGCUGCGUCUGCUGCAGCAGCAGAACAGCAGUCUGAGGGCUGUGGUGGCCCAGAUGAGGAGGGACAUGGAGGUCCUCAGCCAUCAGAGGACCUCCCCUGCUCCUGCCCCUGCUCCUCCCGGAAUCCCAGGGGAUUUCACCUCCACCCUGCAGCCCACUGGACCUCCAGCCAAGACCACUGACAGCUCUGUCAAGACCAGUCCAGCAGGGUACACUGAGGCCAUGGAGGAGCAGCUGUCAGAGGUGAAGGCACGCUGCAGACAGCUGGAGGAGCAGCUAGAUGGUGCCACCAGAGCCCUGAACCCCCCCUCAGACUUCCUGGCCCCCCCGCUGGCCCCCUCGCUGGCCCCCGUCUCAGCAGACAACGCCUACCUGCAAAACCACAUCCGCUCGCUCAACGAGACCAUAGGUGGUCUGCGUGUUGUGAAGGUUGCUUUAACUGCAGCACUGAGAAAGCAUGAGGUUAGGGUGGCACACCUGGAGUCUGCCAUGGCCUCCCUCACACAGCAGUGUCAUUCCAAGCAGGUAGAGGGGGAGGAGCUGCGCUUGGAGCUGGCCAAUCAGAAACGGAGUUGGAAGGCAGAGGAGGCGGGGCUGCACCAGAAGCUGGUUGCCGUAGAAAUGGAGCUGGCAGAAGUGAGGAGGGAGAAAGAGGAGUACCAAAAGGGAAGCAUCCUCACCAACCUGGAGACAGUUGCCCUGGGCAACCAGGUAUCGGCUCUGAAGAUGGACAUCGCCAGCAGGAGAGAGCCCAUUGUCUGUGAACAGAGUGAGAUGGUACAUGAGCUGCAGGAGGAGAACCUCCGUUUGAGACAGCAGCAGCUCCUAUCCCUGGGGUCUGGGGUGUGCCUGGGGGCCGCCCAGGGGUAUAAACCCAGUGACCCGCUGCCAGAGACCAGGCUGAAGCAGGCUGCCCGCUGUAUCGCCCGUCUGAGCAGGGACAAGCAGCAGCUGAUUGAGAUGGGGAAUCGGCUCCGCUCCCAGCUCAUCCAUGCAGGACUGGAGGUUCCCCAGACAGCGCCUGUGUUCUCUCCAGCACCAGAGGCAGCGGGGCCAGAGAGAGACCGGUCUGGCCCCGGACCGGAGCAUCAGCAGGGGCGGCUGUCUGUUCUGGAGCAGCUGCAGUACCAACUCACCACACAGGAACUGCAGUACGCUCAGAGGGAACCAAGGACGGGGGCCCGCAUCAGGGUACAGCCCCUCUCCGACAGCGAAGGUGGGGGGCGGGGCCCAGGCCGGGACAGGGCUGCCAACCCCUGGGUCCAGGGGAGCAGGGACACACACAGACAUGAGCGUUCUCGGAGCAAAGAGAACACGCCUCCUCCUCUCAGCCAAUCGCCCACCUUGUUGAAGCGGGACAUGGCGUUGCGUUCCUCCUCCAGCCCGUCUGGUGCGCUGGUGUCGUCCCUGGCAACGGAGGGAUCGCUGAGGGAGGUGUGGCAGGUGCUGGACAGAGGCCCGAGCCCCUCUGUCCUGACCACACCCAGACUCAGCUCCGACACAGGUUAGGGUCGCUCUUAACACUUUCUGUCCAAACACACUCCCACACACACUCAACACACACAAUUUAACACCAGCAGUCAUCAUUUUACUCAGUGAGUGUUUAAAAAGGUCCACUCUCAUGAGGUGGAUCUGCUGUGUAUAAGUUCACUCCUGGUAUUAAAUGAACACUUUGAAAUGUGUCUAUAAUGAUUUCGAAUGUACUAUAUAAAUGAUGGUUUCAAAUCACAAUGUCUCUCUUCUCACUGCCUCACAUACUUAUAAGCAAACUCACCAGUACUUAGUUUUAAUCCUGUUACAGUAUGGGGUAGCCAAUUGUAUAAUUGGUCAUUGUUGUCUCCGCCAUGGACAGCUAUCCUGCCAGGGGUGUGUUCUAUCUGAGUCACCUCAUCUCAUACAGACUGGUGUUUCAGCAUUCUAGAGAGCCUCAACCAGCCCAGUAUCACUCUGUCACAACACAUCAUAUAAUCUCUCACACACAAGGGGAUCAGGUGGAGAUGACCAGGUGUGAGCUGAAAGAGGCCAGUCCAGAGAGGCAGAUGAGAGGGCUACAAGGGACCAGAGCCCCUGUCCAGGAGAGGAGAACCACCAUCAGGCCCAGCCAACCCUCCGC